GCCUUCAAUGAUUUGCAUCAAGGGUUUGACAUCCACUCAUUUGGUGAAAUAAUCUACAGCGAUAACUAGUUACUUCCUCUGACCAGUCAUCGAAGGAAAGGAACCGAGUAUGUCGAUUCCCCAUUGUGCGAAGGGCCACGAUGCGAUAAUCAAUGUCAAGUGACUGGCCAGUUGAUAUUGAAUGUUGGCAUACUUUUGACUUGCCUCACACUUCCAAACAAGUUCGACUACAUCUUUCCUCAUGGUAGGCU
rnacentral:lncRNA from 1 species